UUCAGUUUUAGAAGGCUUUUUUUGUAAUAUAUUAUUAGUAAAUUUAUGUUGAAAAAUCAAAUCAAAUAAACUAAAAAUUUCAAGUUUAUUGAUUAACAGCGUAAUCAUCAUCUCAUCAUCAUCAUCAUGGUUCCAAGUCGGCUUCGGCAACGGCGACCAAAAUUUUCUGUUCAGUAACUUAAAAGCUAAUGUCCGCGCCUCUCAUGCGCUCUAAUAUGGUUAUGGUAGCCUAUCUUGUUCUUAAACGUGCGCAAACAGAAGCUACACAAUUUCUUUCCUUUCAUCGCCGGAAGCAUGUUGGCAGCCCUAGUUAAGUGUAACACAACAAAGAAUCAAGAUAAAGUCGCAAUGCGUUUGUCGAUACUAUGACAGGGACAUUUACUUCUGAACUACUAAAUAUAACUAAUUUAAGGUGACCGUUAGGAAAUCGACCGAAUAUAGGAAAUGAUUAGAAACAGCUUUGAAUUUGUACUGUUACAAAAUGAUUGAACUAUAAAUGUGAAAACAAAUUCCGUCGAAGAAAAUUGUACGUACCCAAUAUUUUUUUACGUUGCAAAUAUAUACGUCGACUUAGUAAUUUUGUAACAGGUAAUUACUGCAAAUAUUAUCGCAUGACCGGAUGAAAAAUUAACUUUUAUAUUUUAAAUUUGACUUACUCUAAAUUAAUAAUAUAUUUUAUGCCUAUUUUAUGUACGUAAGAGCUGGCGGAAAACUGCAAUUUUCAUUUGAGAAAUAAGACGUCCGCUUGAAACUCUUCGCUUCUUAUUAAGCUAAACUACAAAUAUAUAUAAAUAUACAAAUGUAUAAUUAUAUAAUACAUCUUUUGAUUUUUUAAAUUCGUCCGCCAAUAGUUACGAUCAAGUGCCCCAAAUUAUUCGGUUAAAUUGAUUUCCUACUUCUCGGAACGAUCUCACCAUCUAUCACAGUGUUAUUUAAGACGAAAAAGUUAUUUCAUUAUUUACUAAAUUAAACAUAACGAAAAUACGGUCUGCUCUUAAUUUUUGUUUAUGUGUGCUGCUUGAAGAAAUCACUUGGCAAUAAACCGCCUAGUUAAUGCUUCUUAGUAUUCGGAUUUUCAUUCUUACGUGACGUUAUGUUAUGUGUGUAUAAUGAAACACGCUCUUUUCUGCAUCACAUAUGAACUUUUAAGGCAAAGUAUUCGUAGCUUUCUCUGCCAAAACUUUUUUUUAACCAAACAUGUUCAAUUUUUAUGUUUUACAAGCAAGAACUUUUUAUGUGUUCUGCUAAAAGUUUCCUCGGAAUUAAAAUUUGAAAGUGAAACUGCGAGAUGAUAAAUUAAAUUAGUUAAAUAUACAAAUGCUUAAAUUAAAGCUAUGAUUUGUUUAGACGAACGAUACCGAUCAUGAAAUCAAACAAACCUAAAUGUAAUAUGAUCCAUCAAUUAUGAUAAUAGAAAAUUUAAAUUUUAAUAACAUUAUUAAAUCCUCCAUAUUUAUUUUAAUGUGUAAAGAAAACAAAUAAAAAGAGGUGAUGUGAAAAUAAUAAAA